rnacentral:rRNA from 1 species
UACGUAGGUGGCAAGCGUUGUCCGGAUUUACUGGGCGUAAAGAGCGCGCAGGCGGUCGUUCAAGUCGCGUGUGAAAGCCCCCGGCUCAACUGGGGAGGGUCACUCGAUACUGAUCGACUUGAAGGCAGGAGAGGGAAGCGGAAUUCCCGGUGUAGUGGUGAAAUGCGUAGAUAUCGGGAGGAACACCAGUGGCGAAGGCGAGUCCCUGGACGAUACCUGACACUGAGGCACGAAAGCUAGGGGAGCAAACAGG